AACGAACGCUGGCGGCAGGCCUAACACAUGCAAGUCGAACGGUUCCUUCGGGGACAGUGGCAGACGGGUGAGUAACGCGUGGGAAUCUACCUUGUGGUACGGAACAACCAAGGGAAACUUUGGCUAAUACCGUAUGAGCCCUUCGGGGGAAAGAUUUAUCGCCAUAAGAUGAGCCCGCGUAGGAUUAGCUAGUUGGUGAGGUAAAGGCUCACCAAGGCGACGAUCCUUAGCUGGUCUGAGAGGAUGACCAGCCACACUGGGACUGAGACACGGCCCAGACUCCUACGGGAGGCAGCAGUGGGGAAUAUUGGACAAUGGGCGCAAGCCUGAUCCAGCCAUGCCGCGUGUGUGAUGACGGCCUUAGGGUUGUAAAGCACUUUCGCCGAUGAAGAUAAUGACUGUAGUCGGAGAAGAAGCCCCGGCUAACUUCGUG
rnacentral:rRNA from 1 species